UAUGGUGCAAGCGUUAUCCGGAUUUACUGGGUGUAAAGGGAGCGCAGGCGGUCCUGCAAGUCUGGUGUGAAAGCCCGGGGCACAACCCCGGGACUGCACUGGAAACUGCGGGACUGGAGUGUCGGAGGGGUAAGCGGAAUUCCUGGUGUAGCGGUGAAAUGCGUAGAUAUCAGGAGGAACACCGGUGGCGAAGGCGGCUUACUGGACGAUGACUGACGCUGAGGCUCGAAAGCGUGGGGAGCAAA
rnacentral:rRNA from 1 species